UACGGUGGCCUGGAAGUGCAAAACACAACCACAAAAGAGGAAACACGACAGUAAAUCACAUAUGCAAACACAAAAAAGAAAACACGACAGCAAAUCACAUAUGCAAACACAAAAAAGAGAAAACACGACAGCAAAUCACAUAUGCAAACACAAAAAAGAAAACACGACAGCAAAUCACAUAUGCAAACACAAAAAAGAGAAAACACGACAGCAAAUCACAUAUGCAAACACAAAAAAGAAAACACGACAGCAAAUCACAUAUGCAAACACAAAAAAGAGAAAACACGAAGGCAAAAUCCCAAAACGCGACAGCAUCGUCUGUCUUCUUCUUCUUCUUCGUUGUAGUUUAA